CUUGACUCUAUCUCAGGCUGGCAGGAGCCACCUCCAUACUCUAUUCUCCAGAAGCAAGGACCCAGGCCCAUCCUGAGGCCUGGCACAAGAUGCUACCAAGGGCAUCAGUCUGUGAAGCCUACAGACAGCUUUGUGAAGAACUGUUGCUCCAAAUGAAGAUUCUGGGGUCCCAGUGGCCCAGGUCUCCUGGGGAGUUAAAGAGCCACAGCCUGAGCCUGUCUCCCUCCUCACUGAGCAGCUGUGGCUGGGCUCACCCUUCCAGAGCCCUGCACAGCGAGAGCACAGCAGACAGAGGGGCCCCAGCCUGCAGAACUCCCCACUCCACAGACUGCCUUCUGCGUUUGACCACCACACCUUGACCAUGCUUUAAUUCGACUGUAAUUUACUGGGACCAUCAAGUCAUUUUCACCCUUUUCCUGUAACAGCGGCAGAUACAAACAUUAACAGAUGGAAAAGUGUUUUCUACUUUCAAUGUCCCCAUGGGAUAAACUGUUCACGGAUGAUGUUAUAUGAUCAUGUAGACUGACUUAUCAGAUAAAACUCUGCUACUUACAUUUUCUAGAGCGUAUAAUGUAACAGGAGUAUUCAAGUGAUCUUUAUUUUCUAAAUCUAACCUGAAAUUUAUAUUAGUAUCAAGAAGCAAAAUGAGAGAAAAUAAAAUCACUUGCAUAAAAAAACAGCUAUCUAUCCUAAAAUUAAAUAUAUAGAAGUCAACAAUAUUUCAAGGAAAAAAGACAAAACCUAAUGACUUGAUGUCUUUGCAGUGUUUCAGGAUUUUUACUGCUAGGGUCAGAUGGAGGCUGAGGGAAACCAAAAGGAUUGUCAAAUGCAUUAAGAUCC
rnacentral:lncRNA from 1 species